AAGGAUUGCACAACUCCCGGCUGGGAGCGCGGAGCGCCCAGCGGCCGGCCGGCGCGCGCGGCACCGCGGCGAGCAGGAACCCGCUCUCCCACUUGAUCAGCACAACUGUCUCGAGUCGGCCUCUCCGCCUGCAGGCCCGGCGCCGCCCACUUCCUGCGACCAAAUAAGGCCGGGGAAGGCGUCCGCGAACCUCCGGCGGCGGCGCGGGCUGGGGAUUUCCAGCAGCCCUCACCUCCACUCCCGAGCCCGUCGCCGCCCUCCCCCGGCGCGGCGCCCCCGACGGCUUUGCUGGAACCGACGGGCCGCGCGGCUCUCGUUCCCUGUGCACACCAAGGUCAGGAGGAGACGGUGACGAAAUGUUUGGAAACCCAUCGGGCCUGCCAGGAAAGAGAUGAGUCAGAAGGAGAUUUUCCUUUGAAGGAAAAACCACUGAAGAACACGCCGCUGUGUCCUGGCAGCCACGUUCCCCCGUGGCCAGUCCUGAGAGCCAGGUGCAGCCCUCAGUUUCUCCAGGAGCAGAGAAGGGGCCGUGGGAUAUGAUCCUGAGCGUGUGGAACUAUGGCCUUGGACCACCCGCCCAGCUUCACUUAGAAUCCUGGUGCGUGUGCUGAUCAGCGGCUCCUCAACUGAAGGAUGACGGUAUUGUGAAUACUGUUACGCCUAAGGUUCAGUCUCCCGCGGUGCAAAGCCCACAGAACUGGGAGGCCCCAUUAUCUGAGGCCAGUAGCUGUUGGGCAAUCAAGCGCUCAUCAAGUGACCUAAGGACAAGAAGGAUUCCUAUGUCCAGACACCUCCGGAUACUCCCAUGGAAGCAGGCCAGAGAGACGUGGAACAGGCUCUGGACUGGGAGUCCAAAGAGCAAAAUUCUAAGCCCGUUCUUCCCUCUGAUUUUCCAGAUGUUCCUACACAGGGCCUAAUACAUCUAUCAGACUCUCCUAAAUGCUCGACGGGGGGGGGGGGCUGGUUGCCCACAGCACCCUGGCACGAAUCCAUUAUCCCCACCUUCUGGAUAAGGAUGGUGAGGUUCAGCAAGGUCAAACAGCUCAUCCAGGGCCACACAGAUGGAGUUCAGCCCCUGGACUCCGAUUCCUUCUCUCUGCAAGCUGAAGAUACCUCCUUGGGCCCAUGCUUCCCCAGUAAGGAAGUGAACAACAGGAAGGGCCACAGACGAGAACCUUACAAGCCAUCCCUCCCUCCCAGAUGUCUUUUCUUUGAUCUAUGUAUUAUGUUUCAUUGUAAUUAAAUUUAUUGCAACUUUUUUUUUAAUCAGGGAAUUUAAU